rnacentral:rRNA from 1 species
UACGUAGGUGGCAAGCGUUAUCCGGAUUUAUUGGGCGUAAAGAGAACGCAGGCGGUCUUUUAAGUCUGAUGUGAAAGCCUUCGGCUUAACCGGAGUAGUGCAUUGGAAACUGGGAGACUUGAGUGCAGAAGAGGAGAGUGGAACUCCAUGUGUAGCGGUGAAAUGCGUAGAUAUAUGGAAGAACACCAGUGGCGAAAGCGGCUCUCUGGUCUGUAACUGACGCUGAGGUUCGAAAGCGUGGGUAGCAAACAGG